UCAAAAACAAUUUACACAUAUACUUCCUUUUCUCAAAACAAGAAAAUGGGUAGAGGCCCAAGUUUUUUUUUUAAAAAGAACCACUCAACUAAUUGGCCCAAAACAAUUAAAAGUAUUACUAUUAGUUUUCAAAUGUAACACACGUACACUCCCAUUCACUUUCAACAUAUUAAGGGAUUAACUAAAAAAAAGUAACAAAAAAAAAUUCAAGUACUUCCUUUCCCAAACCUAUCGUGACUCUCUCUCUACUGUAAUUUCUUCAAACAGGGAGCACACCCAAUUUCUUUUGAUGAACAAACCAGACAAUACACACACGCACCAACAUCACGAAAUUGAAUACACCCGGAGUCCACUGUCUCUCCAAGUCGUCAACGCCGCUGCGUCCCCGCUAAACUCCGCCGUUCGCCUGGGUUUGAGAGCAGUCGCUGCUGUCCGUCCAAUCCAGCCAUCGUACCGUCGAGAUCGAUCACGGGGGAGGAAAAACUCAUCACGGAGGAGGAAAAACUCGAGAAAAAACUCUGCAGAAUCUUUAAUUAGAAAUUUGAAUUAAUGCAGCCCGUUGACCAAGUCAACAUGGAGGAGAUUUAGUUAGAUUAGUUUAAUUCGCGGUCCCUUUGUAUUUUAUUUAAAUUGUGCAGCCCACAAUUUAUUUAUCACGGACUAAAUUUUUAUAUCAUUUAUUCAAUUUUUCCGAUCCAACUCGCGGAUUGAGGCCAA